AGCUCAAAUUUGAAAUCUGGCACUUUCAGUGUCCGAGUUGUAAUUUGAAGAAGGUAUCUUUGGGUCUGGCUCUUGUCUAUGUUUCUUGGAACAGAACGUCACAGAGGGUGAGAAUCCCGUGCGAUGAGAUGACCCAGACCUAUGUAAAGUUCCUUCGAAGAGUCGAGUUGUUUGGGAAUGCAGCUCUAAGUGGGUGGUAAAUUCCAUCUAAAGCUAAAUAUUGGCGAGAGACCGAUAGCGAACAAGUACAGUGAUGGAAAGAUGAAAAGAACUUUGAAAAGAGAGUGAAAAAGUACGUGAAAUUGUUGAAAGGGAAGGGCUUGAGAUCAGACUUGGUAUUUUGUAUGUUACUCUCUCGGGGGUGGCCUCUACAGUUUACCGGGCCAGCAUCAGUUUGGGCGGUAGGACAAUUGCAAAGAAAUGUGGCACUGCCUCGGUAGUGUGUUAUAGUCUUUGUCGAUACUGCCAGCCUAGACUGAGGACUGCGGCUUCGGCCUAGGAUGUUGGCAUAAUGAUCUUAAGUCGCCCGUCUU
rnacentral:rRNA from 1 species